rfam:Mycobacterium sp. 1245111.1 contig_8, whole genome shotgun sequence.
GGGGCUGAACGGUUUCGACUUCGCGCAUCGAAUCAAGGGAAGCGUGCCGGUGCAGGCAAGAGACCACCGUAAGCGUCGUUGCAACCAAUUAAGCGCCGUUUCAACACAGCGCGACUACGCACUCGCUGCCUAAGCGACUGCGUGUCUGUCAGACCGGGAGCGCCCUCGGCCCGGACCCUGGCAUCAGCUAGAGGGACCCACCCACGGGUUCGGUCGCGGGGCCCGUGGGGACACCAAACAGCGACUGGGAUCGUCAUCUCGAACUUGUUCGCGUGAUCGAGAGAUCCGAGUAGAGGCAUAGCGAACUGCGCACGGAGAAGUCUUGAGGGAAUGCCGUAGGACCCGGGUUCGAUUCCCGGCAGCUCCACUA